CUUGAUUGCAAGACAUGCAGGUCGAGCAAGGAUGAAAAUCGGACUUAGUGAGCCGGUGGUUCUGCGUGGAAGGGCCAUCGCUCAACGGAUAAAAGCUACCCGGCGGAUAACAGGCUUAUCUCACCCAAGAGUCCACAUCGACGGGGAGGUUUGGCACCUCGAUGGCGGCUCAUCACAUCCUGGGGCUGUAGUAGGUCCCAAGGGUUGGGCUGUUCGCCCAUUAAAGUGGUACGCGAGCUGGGUUCAGAACGUCGUG
rnacentral:rRNA from 1 species